rnacentral:lncRNA from 1 species
GAGACAUCUUUGUGCUUGGUGGAGAGCAACAGCUCCUGUAGUAUGAACUCAGGCUGGUGAACUCCAGGAGUGAAUAGCUGACCUCCCACUGCUGCAAUCAGCUGUAAUCUGAGAUCCUGCUUCAACAUUCAGACACCUUUAAAAAGGAGAUGUGGAACUUCAGUUCAGAUGAUGCAAUGAAAGCUGCAGACCUGGGAUCUGAAAAAUCUGCACUCCAUGGUUUGAUUUGUAAAUUAACAUUAACAACAUCACCACUCACUCUCUCACGGCUUUCUAAUUUAGACAACUGGCAAGAUAAAAAUGAACAUGAAAUGUUGAGAACAACCAUUGUUCACUGCCUUUCCUUUCAACACAAUAAAAUAAAACAAGAUUCCAUAAAAUAA